AUCAGAAUGUCACGGUGAAUACGUUCCCGGGCCUUGUACACACCGCCCGUCACACCAUGGGAGUGGGCUGCACCAGAAGUAGAUAGCUUAACCUUCGGGAGGGCGUUUACCACGGUGUGGUUCAUGACUGGGGUGAAGUCGUAACAAGGUAGCCCUAGGGGAACCUGGGGCUGGAUCACCUCCUUACCUAAAGA
rnacentral:rRNA from 1 species